rnacentral:rRNA from 1 species
CCUACGGGCGGCUGCAGUGGGGAAUAUUGGACAAUGGGCGAAAGCCUGAUCCAGCCAUGCCGCGUGUGUGAAGAAGGCCUUCGGGUUGUAAAGCACUUUCAGUGGGGAAGAAAGCCUUGGGGCUAAUACCCUCGAGGAAGGACAUCACCCACAGAAGAAGCACCGGCUAACUCCGUGCCAGCAGCCGCGGUAAUACGGAGGGUGCGAGCGUUAAUCGGAAUUACUGGGCGUAAAGCGCGCGUAGGCGGUCUGAUAAGCCGGUUGUGAAAGCCCCGGGCUCAACCUGGGAACGGCAUCCGGAACUGUCAGGCUAGAGUGCAGGAGAGGAAGGUAGAAUUCCCGGUGUAGCGGUGAAAUGCGUAGAGAUCGGGAGGAAUACCAGUGGCGAAGGCGGCCUUCUGGACUGACACUGACGCUGAGGUGCGAAAGCGUGGGUAGCAAACAGGAUUACAUACCCGGGUAGUC